rnacentral:tRNA from 1 species
GUCUUCCUAGUUUAAAUAAAACACUUGUUUUGCAUAUAAAAAAUGGUAAGUUAUUACCGGAAGACA